rnacentral:ncRNA from 1 species
CCAGACAUGGACAGGACUGACAGAUUGAUGGCUCUUUCUCAGUUACGUGGGUGGUGCUGCACGGCCGUUCUUAGUUGGUGGAGCGAUUUGUCUGCUUAAUUCUGAUAACGAAUGAGGCUCUGGCAUGCACACUAGUUACACAAUCCCUGAGCGGUCGGUGUCCCCCAACUUCUUAGAAGGACAAAUGGCGUUCAGCCACCCAAGACUGAGCAAUAACAGGUCUGUGAUGCCCUUAGAUG